AGACCCGAAACCCGGUGAUCUAGCCAUGGGCAGGUUGAAGGUUGGGUAACACUAACUGGAGGACCGAACCGACUAAUGUUGAAAAAUUAGCGGAUGACCUGUGGCUGGGGGUGAAAGGCCAAUCAAACCGGGAGAUAGCUGGUUCUCCCCGAAAGCUAUUUAGGUAGCGCCUCGUGAAUUCAUCUCCGGGGGUAGAGCACUGUUUCGGCUAGGGGGCCAUCCCGGCUUACCAACCCGAUGCAAACUGCGAAUACCGGAGAAUGUUAUCACGGGAGACACACGGCGGGUGCUAACGUCCGUCGUGAAGAGGGAAACAACCCAGACCGCCAGCUAAGGUCCCAAAGUCAUGGUUAAGUGGGAAACGAUGUGGGAAGGCCCAGACAGCCAGGAUGUUGGCUUAGAAGCAGCCAUCAUUUAAAGAAAGCGUAAUAGCUCACUGGUCGAGUCGGCCUGCGCGGAAGAUGUAACGGGGCUAAACCAUGCACCGAAGCUGCGGCAGCGAACGUAUCACUUAAAGCGAUUCAGCGGGUUACGAUUGACGGAGCGAAGCGACGUCAAAGCGUAUACAAAGUCGAGUCGGUUUAAGGAUACGUUCGUUGGGUAGGGGAGCGUUCUGUAAGCCUGUGAAGGUGGCCUGUGAGGGUUGCUGGAGGUAUCAGAAGUGCGAAUGCUGACAUAAGUAACGAUAAAGCGGGUGAAAAGCCCGCUCGCCGGAAGACCAAGGGUUCCUGUCCAACGUUAAUCGGGGCAGGGUGAGUCGACCCCUAAGGCGAGGCCGAAAGGCGUAGUCGAUGGGAAACGGGUUAAUAUUCCCGUACUUGGUGUUACUGCGAAGGGGGGACGGAGAAGGCUAUGUUGGCCGGGCGACGGUUGUCCCGGUUUAAGCGUGUAGGUGUGUGUUCCAGGUAAAUCCGGUUCACUUUAACACUGAGGCGUGACGACGAGGCACUACGGUGCUGAAGCAACAAAUGCCCUGCUUCCAGGAAAAGCCUCUAAGCAUCAGGUAACAUCAAAUCGUACCCCAAACCGACACAGGUGGUCAGGUAGAGAAUACCAAGGCGCUUGAGAGAACUCGGGUGAAGGAACUAGGCAAAAUGGUGCCGUAACUUCGGGAGAAGGCACGCUGACACGUAGGUGAAGUGAUUUACUCAUGGAGCUGAAGUCAGUCGAAGAUACCAGCUGGCUGCAACUGUUUAUUAAAAACACAGCACUGUGCAAACACGAAAGUGGACGUAUACGGUGUGACGCCUGCCCGGUGCCGGAAGGUUAAUUGAUGGGGUCAGCGCAAGCGAAGCUCCUGAUCGAAGCCCCGGUAAACGGCGGCCGUAACUAUAACGGUCCUAAGGUAGCGAAAUUCCUUGUCGGGUAAGUUCCGACCUGCACGAAUGGCGUAAUGAUGGCCAGGCUGUCUCCACCCGAGACUCAGUGAAAUUGAACUCGCUGUGAAGAUGCAGUGUACCCGCGGCAAGACGGAAAGACCCCGUGAACCUUUACUAUAGCUUGACACUGAACAUUGAGCCUUGAUGUGUAGGAUAGGUGGGAG
rnacentral:rRNA from 1 species